rnacentral:rRNA from 1 species
CGGCCUGCGCGGAAGAUGUAACGGGGCUAAACUAUGCACCGAAGCUGCGGCAGCGAUAUGUAAAUAUUGUUGGGUAGGGGAGCGUUCUGUAAGCCUGUGAAGGUGUGCUGUGAGGCAUGCUGGAGGUAUCAGAAGUGCGAAUGCUGACAUAAGUAACGAUAAUGCGGGUGAAAAACCCGCACGCCGGAAGACCAAGGGUUCCUGUCCAACGUUAAUCGGGGCAGGGUGAGUCGACCCCUAAGGCGAGGCAGAAAUGCGUAGUCGAUGGGAAACGGGUUAAUAUUCCCGUACUGGUGAUAAUUGCGAUGGG